UACGUAGGGGCCUAGCGUUGUCCGGAUUUAUUGGGCGUAAAGAGCUCGUAGGCGGUUUGGUGAGUCGGGUGUGAAAUCUCCACGCUCAACGUGGAGGGGCCACCCGAUACUGCCAUGACUAGAGUCCGGUAGGGGAGUGUGGAAUUCCCGCUGUAGCGGUGAAAUGCGCAGAUAUCAAGAGGAACACCUGCGGCGAAGGCGGGUUGCUGGGCUGACACUGACGCUGAAGCGCGAAAGCUAGGGGAGCGAACGGG
rnacentral:rRNA from 1 species